rnacentral:lncRNA from 1 species
UGAUUAUUCUCACCAGAUUAAAGGGAGGAAUAUUGUUUCUUUCUCCCAUUCUCUCCCCCGCUGGAGAACAAAUUUACAUUGUCAAGAUUUUCAGGCUGAAAUGAGUUAAUGCCGAAAAGAAAUUACACAGCUGACAAUUUUAGAUGGUUAGUCCUUCCACUCCACCUCAUGUCCCAGAGAGGGGACGUCUUUCUGGAGAGAGCGUUCUGUAGGAAGAACCACCUUCACCCGCAGCAGUUUUCCUAAAAGUUCAAGAUUGAGGAAAGAAAAAGGAAGAAAAUGGAGUAGAGAAAGAGUGUCUCAGGAAAAGCAAGAGAGACAGGAAGAGAAAGUCCGAGCCACAGAAAAGACAUUAGAGCCUGCAUCUAUAUCCAUCACAGAGCAAAACACACCAGCGGAG